rnacentral:rRNA from 1 species
UACGAAGGGGCUAGCGUUGUUCGGAUUUACUGGGCGUAAAGCGCACGUAGGCGGAUCUUUUAAGUCAGAGGUGAAAUCCCAAGGCUCAACCUUGGAACUGCCUUUGAUACUGGGGAUCUCGAGUCCGGGAGAGGUGAGUGGAACUGCGAGUGUAGAGGUGAAAUUCGUAGAUAUUCGGCAAGAACACCAGUGGCGAAGGCGGCUCACUGGCCCGGUACUGACGCUGAGGUGCGAAAGCGUGGGGAGCAAACAGG